CGACACACUAUCGUUAACUGAAUACAUAGGUUAACGAGGCGAACCGGGGGAACUGAAACAUCUAAGUACCCCGAGGAAAAGAAAUCAACCGAGAUUCCCCCAGUAGCGGCGAGCGAACGGGGAGCAGCCCGGAGUCUGAAUCAGCUUGUGUGUUAGUGGAACGGUCUGGAAAGUCCGACGGUACAGGGUGAUAGUCCCGUACACGAAAAUGCACAUGCUGUGAACUCGAAGAGUAGGGCGGGACACGUGGUAUCCUGUCUGAAUAUGGGGGGACCAUCCUCCAAGGCUAAAUACUCCUGACUGACCGAUAGUGAACCAGUACCGUGAGGGAAAGGCGAAAAGAACCCCGGCGAGGGGAGUGAAAAAGAACCUGAAACCGUGUACGUACAAGCAGUGGGAGCACCUUCGGGUGUGACUGCGUACCUUUUGUAUAAUGGGUCAGCGACUUAUAUUCUGUAGCAAGGUUAACCGUAUAGGGGAGCCGAAGGGAAACCGAGUCUUAACUGGGCGUUAAGUUGCAGGGUAUAGACCCGAAACCCGGUGAUCUAGCCAUGGGCAGGUUGAAGGUUGGGUAACACUAACUGGAGGACCGAACCGACUAAUGUUGAAAAAUUAGCGGAUGACCUGUGGCUGGGGGUGAAAGGCCAAUCAAACCGGGAGAUAGCUGGUUCUCCCCGAAAGCUAUUUAGGUAGCGCCUCGUGAACUCAUCUUCGGGGGUAGAGCACUGUUUCGGCUAGGGGGCCAUCCCGGCUUACCAACCCGAUGCAAACUACGAAUACCGAAGAAUGUUAUCACGGGAGACACACGGCGGGUGCUAACGUCCGUCGUGAAGAGGGAAACAACCCAGACCGCCAGCUAAGGUCCCAAAGUCAUGGUUAAGUGGGAAACGAUGUGGGAAGGCACAGACAGCCAGGAUGUUGGCUUAGAAGCAGCCAUCAUUUAAAGAAAGCGUAAUAGCUCACUGGUCGAGUCGGCCUGCGCGGAAGAUGUAACGGGGCUAAACCAUGCACCGAAGCUGCGGCAGCGACACUAUGUGUUGUUGGGUAGGGGAGCGUUCUGUAAGCCGUUGAAGGUGUGCUGUGAGGCAUGCUGGAGGUAUCAGAAGUGCGAAUGCUGACAUAAGUAACGAUAAAGCGGGUGAAAAGCCCGCUCGCCGGAAGACCAAGGGUUCCUGUCCAACGUUAAUCGGGGCAGGGUGAGUCGACCCCUAAGGCGAGGCCGAAAGGCGUAGUCGAUGGGAAACAGGUUAAUAUUCCUGUACUUGGUGUUACUGCGAAGGGGGGACGGAGAAGGCUAUGUCAGCCGGGCGACGGUUGUCCCGGUUUAAGCAUGUAGGCGGAGGUUCCAGGUAAAUCCGGUACCUUGUUAACGCUGAGGUGUGAUGACGAGGCACUACGGUGCUGAAGUGAUAAAUGCCCUGCUUCCAGGAAAAGCCUCUAAGCAUCAGGUAACACGAAAUCGUACCCCAAACCGACACAGGUGGUCAGGUAGAGAAUACCAAGGCGCUUGAGAGAACUCGGGUGAAGGAACUAGGCAAAAUGGUGCCGUAACUUCGGGAGAAGGCACGCUGAUAGGUAGGUGAAGCCCCUGCGGGCGGAGCUGAAAUCAGUCGAAGAUACCAGCUGGCUGCAACUGUUUAUUAAAAACACAGCACUGUGCAAACACGAAAGUGGACGUAUACGGUGUGACGCCUGCCCGGUGCCGGAAGGUUAAUUGAUGGGGUUAGCGGCAACGCGAAGCUCUUGAUCGAAGCCCCGGUAAACGGCGGCCGUAACUAUAACGGUCCUAAGGUAGCGAAAUUCCUUGUCGGGUAAGUUCCGACCUGCACGAAUGGCGUAAUGAUGGCCAGGCUGUCUCCACCCGAGACUCAGUGAAAUUGAACUCGCUGUGAAGAUGCAGUGUACCCGCGGCAAGACGGAAAGACCCCGUGAACCUUUACUAUAGCUUGACACUGAACACUGGUCCUUGAUGUGUAGGAUAGGUGGGAGGCUUUGAAGCGUGGACGCCAGUCUGCGUGGAGCCAUCCUUGAAAUACCACCCUUUAAUGGCUGGUGUUCUAACGUAGACCCGUGAUCCGGGUUGCGGACAGUGUCUGGUGGGUAGUUUGACUGGGGCGGUCUCCUCCCAAAGAGUAACGGAGGAGCACGAAGGUUGGCUAAUCCUGGUCGGACAUCAGGAGGUUAGUGCAAUGGCAUAAGCCAGCUUGACUGCGAGCGUGACGGCGCGAGCAGGUGCGAAAGCAGGUCAUAGUGAUCCGGUGGUUCUGAAUGGAAGGGCCAUCGCUCAACGGAUAAAAGGUACUCCGGGGAUAACAGGCUGAUACCGCCCAAGAGUUCAUAUCGACGGCGGUGUUUGGCACCUCGAUGUCGGCUCAUCACAUCCUGGGGCUGAAGUAGGUCCCAAGGGUAUGGCUGUUCGCCAUUUAAAGUGGUACGCGAGCUGGGUUUAGAACGUCGUGAGACAGUUCGGUCCCUAUCUGCCGUGGGCGCUGGAGAAUUGAGGGGGGCUGCUCCUAGUACGAGAGGACCGGAGUGGACGCAUCACUGGUGUUCGGGUUGUCAUGCCAAUGGCACUGCCCGGUAGCUAAAUGCGGAAGAGAUAAGUGCUGAAAGCAUCUAAGCACGAAACUUGCCCCGAGAUGAGUUCUCCCUGAGACUUUAAGUCUCCUGAAGGAACGUUGAAGACGACGACGUUGAUAGGUCGGGUGUGUAAGCGCAGCGAUGCGUUGAGCUAACCGAUACUAAUGAACCGUGAGGCUUAACCUU
rnacentral:rRNA from 1 species